UGGGGAAUUUUGGACAAUGGGCGCAAGCCUGAUCCAGCAAUGCCGCGUGCAGGAUGAAGGCCUUCGGGUUGUAAACUGCUUUUGUACGGAGCGAAAAGGUCUGCCCUAAUACGGUGGGCUCAUGACGGUACCGUAAGAAUAAGCAUCGGCUAACUACGUGCCAGCAGCCGCGGUAAUACGUAGGGUGCAAGCGUUAAUCGGAAUUACUGGGCGUAAAGCGUGCGCAGGCGGUUUUGUAAGUCUGAUGUGAAAUCCCCGGGCUCAACCUGGGACCUGCAUUUGUAACUGCAUAGCUGGGGUGAGGCAGAGGGGGAUGGAAUUCCGAGUGUAGCAGUGAAAUGCGUAGAUAUGCGGAGGAACACCGAUGGCGAAGGCAAUCCCCUGGGCCUGCACUGACGCUCAUGAACGAAGGCGUGGGGAGCAAACA
rnacentral:rRNA from 1 species